GUGGAUGGAACAGUGUAGUGGUGAGGGUGUUUGACUCCCAGUCGAAAGGUUCUGGGUUCAACCCCCAAUGUCCGCA